CAGCGCUUUGGAUUAAUCUUCAUCCAUACGUCAUCCCACCUGAGGAAGAUUUAAUUGUUUUACAUUCCUUUAACUUCGACCCCCUGAGACAUUUCAUGAGCACUAUAAUUUACACUUUGUUGUAUUUUUGUGAACUGAGGAGUGAAAACCUUUUUAAUGUUUUAAAUGUGUGAUCCUGUACGUUUAGGGGUGUACUGUGUGUGCUGUGAUAUAAAGGUUUGGGAUGAAUGGUAAUAUACAGACUUGACCACUGGGUGUCUCUGCCGGCCAGCGGAGACACCCAGUGUCUCUCCGCCCUGAGACAACAAGCACACUUCAGGCUCAACAGAUGUCGCGUCAAGCACAGUCAGACACAGCGUUUGGUGGCCGAACAGCAUCCCUGUUGUCGGUUUGCCUGGUGAUUUUGUCAGUUAGUUUUCCUCGGUGGUGAGUUUGGACCGAUGUCUUGUCUCAUUGACUUGAGCACUUUAGUAACUUAUAGACCCUGGAGUAAUUUGUUAUGUACAGUUUUGAUGAAGGCUUUGUUGUUACCCUUAAGAAUGCUGAACAGAAAUGUAUUGGCAAAGAGAGGAAGAGGGCUGCACAUCCAAAAAUGGCACAAAUAUACUUAUGUAUCACAAGCUACUUUGCUAAAAUCUCGUUUGUUUGGCAGAUCAGGUCAUUUUAGCAUUGAAGAAGUUGUAAUGUUUACUCUUAUGAUGUGAAUUAAUUUGGUUUUCUCCUUCCUAUCUUACAUAAUGAAGAAUAACCCCCAUUUGUUGUUUUGAAAUGUGGUCAUGUGACCUGUUUCAUGGCUCGUACAUCAGCCUGUAGUAGGUGUGACAUAUUGUGUGAUAUGUACUUUUGUGUGUACUGAAGUAAUUGAUCGUAUAAUUCCGUUACACCUCCACAUUAUCUACUGCCCCUCCUGUCUCUGAUGAUAUCGUAUGUUCUUCAAUACUGCUUCAGGUUCUGUUGCCACACAUUUUGUAAAUAAUAAGCAAAGAAGAAAAGAGUUAGUAAUGCCAAUGACUAUGUGAACAACUGUUAAAACAAAACAAUAGAACACAGAGGGGAUCUGUAACGUGGAAAUGUGUUGCUCUGCAUCCUGAAUGUGUCAGGAUAAAUGAACACGUAAACGUGCCCCAGCUGGGUAUUAACCUAUUUAGUCAGAAAAAAUACUUUGUUAACAUGUACAAGAAACCAGACGUUUUUGGUCAAUGGGCUUUUGACAUAAACGCCGAGUACAGGUGGAGGUUUUCAUCUGUACUCACCUGCUCUGGCUUGAAGAUGAAGCAAAUCGGUAGAAGCACAGGACAGUGAGCACAAUGGAGCAAGCUCCAGUCAAUGAGUUCAGAUUAGGCCUGCGGGGAUGAACUUGAUGAUGGGUCAUAUUCCUUCAUCCUCCUGGGAGUCACCAGAGUAUCUGCACACUUAGAAGAACUCCAAACUUCACAAGAAACUAAACUCAGCACAAUAAUGAAAUGAGAGCGUUAGGAGGGAGCACAAUCAACAUUGUAUAUCGUCUCUAAGAAGCAGGAUUCCUUUGUUUUUUAUUCCCCUGGCCUAAACACUGUUGAAGUACUCUUCACAGUGGAUAUCUGAUUUUAUUAUUACUGUAAAAACAAAGACUCCAGGGUCUCGUUGUCUUG
ensembl:lncRNA